GAGAGAGAGAGAAACCAAGUAAGUAAUCCCAUUAGAGGUAAGCUAGGUGUGCAGGGGUGAGAGAGAGAGAGAGAGAGACAGUGAGAGACGAGUGAGAGACGAGGUGGAGCCGGUGACUGACGCAGAAAGUGAGCCAUUAAAAGUGUAUCCUAGGCGUCACUCGGCGCACUGGGCGAUACCUGGCCGAGUCUUCUUGUCCUGGGAACGGAACCAAGAUUAAGAUCAAGAUAUCAAAUGUAAACAAAGCAACUGAAGAAAGAGAGAAAACGGAGAUAUAUAGAAAUAAAACAGAUAAAAAUACAGAGAAAAACGAGGAAUAAAGAAACAAAGAAGAAAGGAGAGAGAAAAAAACGUGGUGAUAAUUGAUAACUGAGAGCGUAAAGAGGGAAGAAGGAAGGAAAUCUGAUAAAACAAAACGGAAAGAUAAAAAAAAAGAAAGAACAAAGAAAACGCAUAUAAAGAAAGGGGAGACUGAUAAAAAAUAGAUAAGCACCAAGGAACAAAGGAGAGCGAAGAAAGAAAACGAGGAUAAAAGAAAAAAACAGAUAAAAGCAAAGGAGAGAAAAAAUAAAGGAAAAAUAAAAAGAAGAGAAUAAGAAAAGAAGUAAAAGAUAAUAACUGUGAUAAAAAGAGAGACAGGAAAAGAGAUAGAAAAUUUUAAAGAGAGAAAGACAGAAAGGGAAGAAUUAAUAUAAAAAAAUAAACAGAGAAAGGAAGAACCGAUAAAUAAAGUGAAAAAUAAAGGAAGAAAAGAAAGAAAA